rnacentral:piRNA from 1 species
UCCUGAUAAGGUAUCACAUGGGGCUGAAAGA